UUAAGUCCCGCAACGAGCGCAACCCUUGUCCUUAGUUGCCAGCAUUCAGUUGGGCACUCUAAGGAGACUGCCGGUGUCAAACCGGAGGAAGUGGGGAUGACGUCAAGUCCUCAUGGCCCUUAUGUCCAGGGCUACACACGUGCUACAAUGGCCGGUACAAAGGGGCGCAAGACCGCGAGGUGGAGCAAAUCCCAAAAAACCGGUCUCAGUUCGGAUUGGAGUCUGCAACUCGACUCCAUGAAGUUGGAAUCGCUAGUAAUCGCGUAUCAGCAUGACCGCGGUCGAAUACGUUCCCGGGCCUU
rnacentral:rRNA from 1 species